UGCAUGUUUUACAUAAGGAAACACUUAGUACAAAUAUUUUACCUUGUACCUGUAACACUCUACGUUGUAAGGAGUGACUAAGGUGAAGAAAGGAAUGAAUAGAAUCAUACCGAAACAAGAAUUGACAGGAUUGGGUUGUUUUUCGGAUUGCCAACAUUUUGAGUGUUUUGCCGCAUGGAACGCUGCAUUAUUUACAAUUUAUCGCAAAAGACUCGGCUGAAAGGACUAAAUUGGUGGACGACACAAAGAUACAUCAGCAAGGAAGAUGUGAAGAGGGCAGAGCGAUGAGAAUAAGGUGGUUGACAUGACUGAAUCUGAGUUCCCUCCGUUUGGCAACCUCACCGCAACCAAAACGCUGGUCAGAAAGCUUGUCGGUAGGCAGUUCCUCACCUGAGCCCAAAAGCACCCAGUACCAGGAUGGCUCUCGAAACCACACAAUCUACUGGCGCACCGCACGCUGCCCUCGAAGCGGCUGCGGGUGGGGGAGGGGGAAAGAGACAGUCACACACCUCCUUCUGGAAUGUGCAGAGGAAGUCUGGAGAGGAACGCAAUGGGGUUUGUCGAGGUUCGUCCCAAGCAGCGCCGGGACUCCGUGCUCUACGGCCUAUUCCCCGGGAUGCACACCAAGACGAACAUCAACCGGGCCAGGAGGACCAUCAACUCGGUGAAGGACGCUCUCUGGGCGGUCCGAGACCUGUUGAUCUUCCAGCUGAAGGACUGAGUGUUGCAGAGUGGCACAUUCCAAGGUCCAGGACUACGUGUUGAGGGACGCACUGAAGCUUGGGGCAGCUGCCGCCAAGGCGCGGUGGGGAAAGACCACCGUGUAACAUCUGCCUGCCUAAGAACAGGGGCCCACGCAGUAAGUGGGCUCUGCUGAUGCCUCAGCUAAAGAUAUGGAUGGUAAACGUACUGGCCUGUAUAUAUGAAUGAUUAAUUCCGAUCUCUGUAUGUAAAGAAAUGCAAUGUAUACGUAUAGCAUCAAUUGUAUAGAUAUCAAAAGAAUUUUAUGAAUAAUAAUUUUAAGCAGUG